AUACACAUCUGCGGGCCUACGUAAUACUAGCCAGUAGCGCAGUUGCGAACGGGUGAGUAACGCGUAGGUAACUGCCUCAUCGCGGGGGAUAACUAUUGGAAACGAUAGCUAAUCACGCAUACUGUGCGAUGGACCUGCGUUGUAUUAGGUAGUUGGUGAGGUAAAGGCUCACCAAGGCGAUGAUACAUUGCCGACCUGAGAGGGUGAUCGGCCACACGUGGAAUGGGACACGGCCCAUACUCCGACGGGGUGCAGCAGUAGGGAAUCUUCGGCAAUGGACGGAAGUCUGACCGAGCAACGCCGCGGGAGUGAAGAAGUUUUUCGGAGCUUAAAGCUCUGUUGUUAGAGAAGCGGUAACUAACCAGAAAGGGACGGCUAACUACGUGCCAGCCGCCGCGGUAAUAC
rnacentral:rRNA from 1 species